AGUACGUGAAACUGCUUAGAGGUUAAACCCGAUGAACCUGAAUAUCCAUUAUGGAAAAUUCAAUGCUAAUAUUGCAAUAUAUAUCAUAUUUGUAAAAGUAGUGUGCAAUUUUUCCAUAUAAGGACAUUGUAAUCUGUUAAUGUAAUAAUUAUUUAUCAAAAGAUUCUUUACUUAAGUUUAUUCAAAUUGUUUAUUUUCGGAUAUUCAACAUAAAAUAAAUGUAUUGAAUUAGAUAAAUCAUUGACAGAUAUAAUUAUAUAAUGUGCUCAAAUUCUAAGGAAUUUUACAAUGAUAAAUGAAUCUAUUGAUUUGUUUAUUUAUUUGUUUGCACUAUUAUGAUUAACAAUGCGAUAGAUUCAGGAUACCUUCGGGACCCGUCUUGAAACACGGACCAAGGAGUCUAACAUAUGUGCAAGUCAUUGGGUAUUUAUAAUAAAACCCAAUGGCAUAAUUAACUUAACUUUAUUUAUAAUGGGAUUAGUUUAUAAUUUAUUAUGAAUUAUUUAUUCAAUCCCGGGGCGUUCUAUAUAGUUAUGUAUAAUGGUAUUUAUAUUAUUUAUACCUCUAACUAGAGCGUACCUUGAGC
rnacentral:rRNA from 1 species